rnacentral:rRNA from 1 species
AGAGUUGAUCAUGGCUCAGGACGAACGCUGGCGGCGCGCCUAACACAUGCAAGUCGAACGGUGAAGAGGAGCUUGCUCCUCGGAUCAGUGGCGGACGGGUGAGUAACACGUGAGCAACCUGCCUUUCAGUGGGGGACAACAGUUGGAAACGACUGCUAAUACCGCAUAACGUGCUUAGGGGGCAUCCCCCGAGUACCAAAGAUUUAUCGCUGAAAGAUGGGCUCGCGUCUGAUUAGAUAGUUGGUGAGGUAACGGCCCACCAAGUCGACGAUCAGUAGCCGGACUGAGAGGUUGAACGGCCACAUUGGGACUGAGACACGGCCCAGACUCCUACGGGAGGCAGCAGUGGGGAAUAUUGGACAAUGGGGGAAACCCUUAUCCAGCGACGCCGCGUGAGGGAAGAAGGUUUUCGGAUUGUAAACCUCUGUCAGCGGGGACGAUAAUGACGGUACCCGCGGAGGAAGCCACGGCUAACUACGUGCCAGCAGCCGCGGUAAUACGUAGGUGGCAAGCGUUGUCCGGAAUUACUGGGUGUAAAGGGAGCGUAGGCGGGGUAUCAAGUCAGAAGUGAAAAUUACGGGCUCAACUCGUAACCUGCUUUUGAAACUGAUACUCUUGAGUGAAGUAGAGGCAAGGGGAAUUCCUAGUGUAGCGGUGAAAUGCUUAGAUAUUAGGAGGAACACCAGUGGCGAAGGCGGCUUGCUGGGCUUUUACUGACGCUGA